AUCACCUCUCGGCCUUUUGGCUAAGAUCAAGUGUAGUAUCUGUUCCUAUCAGUUUAAGUCUUCAUAAAAAUACUUUUUAAUGGGUAUUUUUAAAACUUCAU
ensembl:snRNA U2 U2 spliceosomal RNA